UACGUAGGUGGCAAGCGUUGUUCGGAAUCAUUGGGCGUAAAGGGCGCGUAGGUGGUUCUGUGUGUCUACCGUGAAAGCGUACGGCUCAACCGUAUUUUGUCGGUAGAAACUGCAGGACUUGAGGCUGGGAGGGGCUGGUGGAAUUCCUGGUGUAGCGGUGAAAUGCGCAGAUAUCAGGAGGAACACCGGUGGCGAAGGCGGGUCUCUGGGCCGAUACUGACGCUGAGGAGCGAAAGCGUGGGGAGCGAACAGG
rnacentral:rRNA from 1 species